rnacentral:rRNA from 1 species
CAGUCGCCGCGGUAGUGCGUAGGGUGCGAGCGUUGUCCGGAUUUAUUGGGCGUAAAGGGCUCGUAGGUGGUUGAUCGCGUCGGAAGUGUAAUCUUGGGGCUUAACCCUGAGCGUGCUUUCGAUACGGGUUGACUUGAGGAAGGUAGGGGAGAAUGGAAUUCCUGGUGGAGCGGUGGAAUGCGCAGAUAUCAGGAGGAACACCAGUGGCGAAGGCGGUUCUCUGGGCCUUUCCUGACGCUGAGGAGCGAAAGCGUGGGGAGCGAACAGGCUUAGAUACCCGCGUAGUCCCUGUCUCUUAUAC